CCCGGGGCAAUUUAGCGUUCGGCGGACUGUUAAUCCGUAUGUCACUGGUUCGAGUCCAGUCAGAGGAGCCA
rnacentral:tRNA from 1 species